GAUGAACGCUGGCGGCGUGCCUAAUACAUGCAAGUCGAGCGAACAGACGAGGAGCUUGCUCCUCUGACGUUAGCGGCGGACGGGUGAGUAACACGUGGAUAACCUACCUAUAAGACUGGGAUAACUUCGGGAAACCGGAGCUAAUACCGGAUAAUAUAUUGAACCGCAUGGUUCAAUAGUGAAAGACGGUUUUGCUGUCACUUAUAGAUGGAUCCGCGCCGCAUUAGCUAGUUGGUAAGGUAACGGCUUACCAAGGCGACGAUGCGUAGCCGACCUGAGAGGGUGAUCGGCCACACUGGAACUGAGACACGGUCCAGACUCCUACGGGAGGCAGCAGUAGGGAAUCUUCCGCAAUGGGCGAAAGCCUGACGGAGCAACGCCGCGUGAGUGAUGAAGGUCUUCGGAUCGUAAAACUCUGUUAUUAGGGAAGAACAAAUGUGUAAGUAACUAUGCACGUCUUGAAGGUACCUAAUCAGAAAGCCACGGCUAAAUAAGUG
rnacentral:rRNA from 1 species